GAUGAAGAACGCAGCGAAAUGCGAUACGUAAUGUGAAUUGCAGAAUUCAGUGAAUCAUCGAAUCUUUGAACGCAUAUUGCGCUCUUUGGUAUUCCGAAGAGCAUGCUUGUUUGAGUAUCAGUAAACACCUCAAAGCUUUUGGAUUUUUUAAUCGAAAAGCUUUGGACUUGAGCAAUCCCAACACCAAUCUUUUUGAGAUCGGUGGCGGGUUGCUUGAAAUGCAGGUGCAGCUGGACAUUCUCCUGAGCUAAAAGCAUAUUCAUUUAGUCCCGUCAAACGGAUUAUUACUUUUGCUGCAGCUAACAUAAAGGGAGUUUGACCGUAUUGGCUGACUGAUGCAGGAUUUCACAAGGGUCGGCAACGAUUCUUCUUAAACUCGAUCUCAAAUCAAGUAAGACUACCCGCUGAACUUAAGCAUAUCAAUAAGCGGAGGA
rnacentral:misc_RNA from 1 species